GAUGAACGCUGGCGGCGUGCCUAAUACAUGCAAGUAGAACGCUGAAGGAAGGAGCUUGCUCUUUCCGGAUGAGUUGCGCACGGGUGAGUAACGCGUAGGUAACCUGCCUGGUAGCGGGGGAUAACUAUUGGAAACGAUAGCUAAUAACGCAUAACAGUAGAUGUUGCAUGAUAUCGACUCAAAAGGUGCAAUUGCACCACUACCAGAGGGACCUGCGUUGUAUUAGGUAGGUGGGGAGGGAACGGGCCACCAAGGGGAAGAUACAUAGCCGGCCUGUGAGGGAGGACCGCCAACAUUGGAAUGGGACACGGGCCAGGCUCCCACCGGGGGGAGCAAGAGGGAAAUUUUGGAAAUGGGCGGAAGGCUGACCGAACAACGCCGCGGGAGUGAAGAAGGGUUUCGGGGCGGUAAAGUAUGUUUUUAGGGAAGGACGAGUGUGAGGGUAGAAAGUUCACACUGUGACGGUACCUGACCAGAAAGCAACGGCUAACUACGUG
rnacentral:rRNA from 1 species